UUCUGUAUCUUUAUAUUUUGAUCAGAGAGAGGGUAAGAUCAAAAAUUCCAAAAUGAUUAUAGUGUAUAUAGUGCUGAGUAUUGUGGUGAAUGCAAACAACCUAUCAAAGGAUAGAAUUAUAGCAAAUUUAAAAGAUCUCAGUUGGCUUUCUUUGUGAUUCUAGAAUUGAGUAAGACAUCAUUCCAUAAAAUAUAGUAAUGUUCCAGUGAGCUGAGCAGAAGAGGUUAGACAGAAGGGCUAAAGGAAGCAGAAGCAAAGAACAGUGUAUUAGUUACUUUUUCUUGUAAGGCUAGGAGAGGGAGAGAGAACAAUAGAGAAAUAACUGAUUGAUUCAUGUGGGGGUCAGAGUGGAAGCAGGUGCGAGAGGGUCCCGCAGAAGAAAACAAUGUCUGCCAAAGUGUUUGAGUCCAUGGUAAGUUUGGCUUGACCUUAGCUGUUGCAGGAGGCAUGUGAACUCUGCCUUAUAUAAUGUGGAUGCUGGGCACAGAGCUGUCAUCUUUGACUGAUUCCAGGACAAAAAUGACAGGACAUUGUGGUAGGGGAAGGGACUCACUUUCUCAUCCCAUGGGUACAGAAACCAAUUAUCUUUGACUGCCUUUCUCCACCACAUCAUGUACCGGUCAUCACUGGUAGCAAAGAUUUACAGAAUGUCAACAUCACACUGCGUAUCAUCUUCCCGCCCGUCGCUAGCCAGCUUCCUGCAUCUUCACCAGCAUCGGAGAGGCCUAUGAUGAGCGUGCGCUGCCGUCCAUCACGACCGAGAUCCUCAAGUCAGUGGUGGCUAGCUUUGAUGUUGGAGAAGUAAUCACCCAGAGAGAGUUGGUCUCCAGGCAGGUGAGCAUCGACCUUACAGAGCAAGCAGCCCCAUUUGGGCUCAUCCUGGACGACGUGUCCUUGACAUAUCUGACCUUUGGGAAGGAAUUCACAGAAGUGGUGGAAGCCAAACAGGUGGCUCAGCAGGAAGCAGAGAGGGCCAGAUUUAUGAUGGAAAAGGCUGAGCAGCAGAAAAAGGCGGCCAUGGUCUCUGCUGAGGGCGACUCCAAGGCAGCCGAGCUGAUUGCCAACUCACUGGCCAUGGCAGGGGACGGCCUGAUCAAGCUGUGCAAACUGGAAGCCACGGAGGACAUUGCGUUAACAGCUCUCACGCUCUCGGAACAUGACCUACCUGCUGGCAGGGCAGUCUGUGCUCCUCCGGCUGCCCCAUGAGGGCCUACCCUGCCUGCACCUCCGCAGGCUGACUAGGCCACAGCCCCGAUGAUUCUUAAACACCGCCUUCCCCCCACACCCCAGAAAUCAUGGUGAAAUUUCAUAAUUGGCUUAAAGUGAAGGAAAUAAAAGUAAAAUCACUUCAGAACUCUUAAAAAAAAAAAAAAGAAGAAGAAAAAAAAA